GGGAUAGUUGGGUUGGAAGGGACCUAGAAGAUCAUAGAGCGAUAGGAUGGGUUGAAAGGGUCCUGGAAGAUCAUGGAGCCAUGGGAUGGUUGGGUAGGAGGGGUCCUUGAAGGUCAUAGAGACAUGGGAUGGGUUGGAAGGGUCUUUGAAGAUCAUAGAGCCAUGGGAUGGUUGGGUUGAAAGGGUCCUUAAAGGGCAUGGAGCCAUGGGAUGGUUGUGUUGGAAAGGUCCUAAAAGGUCAUGGAGCCAUGAGAUGGUUGGGUUGGAGGGGUCCUUGAAGGUCAUAGAGACAUGGGAUGGUUGGGUUGGAAGGAACCUGGAAGAUCAUAGAGCCGUAGG
rnacentral:lncRNA from 1 species